AAGAAAAAAGGCGAUAACCCCUAAGCAAUGCCAUGAAAGAGAUGCAAAAGUAUUGCUAGAGAAAUUGAUGAAGAAGGCGGCACAAGCAACGGCUGGAGGGAACCAUCAGAGGAAAAAGUUGGGAAGUAAAAACAAUAAAUUACAGUGGAAAGAUGGUGGGGAAUCAGAUGAUUUUAGAAUGCAGGGUAAAGAAAGUAGUGUUAUUAUGUUAAUUGGAUUGGGAAAAUCAAAUCUUUGUCUUACAUUUUAACAAACACUUGGAGUGCAUUUGUUUUAAGUGAUUUGCAAUGGAAUUCGAUUUCCUCUUUAGCAA